rnacentral:rRNA from 1 species
GAUGAGCGCUGGCGGCGUGCCUAAUACAUGCAAGUCGAGCGAACGGACGAGAAGCUUGCUUCUCUGAUGUUAGCGGCGGACGGGUGAGUAACACGUGGAUAACCUACCUAUAAGACUGGGAUAACUUCGGGAAACCGGAGCUAAUACCGGAUGAUAUUUUGAACCGCAUGGUUCAAAAGUGAAAGACGGUCUUGCUGUCACUUAUAGAUGGAUCCGCGCUGCAUUAGCUAGUUGGUAAGGUAACGGCUUACCAAGGCAACGAUGCAUAGCCGACCUGAGAGGGUGAUCGGCCACACUGGAACUGAGACACGGUCCAGACUCCUACGGGAGGCAGCAGUAGGGAAUCUUCCGCCAAGGGCGAAAGCCUGACGGAGCAACGCCGCGUUGGUGAUGAAGGUCUUCGGAUCGUAAAACUCUGUUAUUAGGGAAGAACAUAUGUGUAAGUAACUGUGCACAUCUUGACGGUACCUAAUCAGAAAGCCACGGCUAACUACGUG